GGCCAACCAAAUUAGAUAAGAGAAAAUGAAAACUAAAAAGAGCAGCAGAGAUUAUAUUGUUUACUAGUAUUAAAGCAAAGUUGAACUCAAAAUGUGCUUAAAAAAAUUAAUAAAUUCAUCACCUUUUUUCCCCCCAUUUAGACUUUUAAUCCACAAUAUUUCAGUAAGCAUUAUGUAUGAGCUCAGUUUAUUGAGCCACAAAAUAAGCUCCACAGCUUUGGGCCUGUCAUGUCCAAUAUGCAAAUUCUUUGAGAAUGAUAUGGCACCUGGGGACCUGCAUGCUAAAACUGCUUCACUGAUGUGAAUAAUGUUAUGGUAUAUUUUCACAGGUUUGCCUACUGUCACAACAUACUGAGAAUCUAACAAUGCAAAACGAGACUCGGAUACAAAAACCCAGUUAGAACCUUCACUAGCUAGUUAGCUAGUGAGAAAGCCCAAUUUGUUUGUUUGUUUGUUUAUUUAUUUAUUUAUUUUUGUCCAUUGUUAAAAGCGCUAUACAAAUAAAAUUGAAUUGAGCUUGUCUAGGAUCCCUCUAGGUGAAAGACUGCGCAGUGUGUGAGCCUUGUCUGCGAUCGCUACAUCCGAAAAACAACAAAUCACAAGCGAUAAAAGUCAUUUACAAUGAGCAAUACGGCAAUUCUGAGGUUUUGAAAGUCGUGGAGUAUAUAAAUGUGUUUUCUGUGCUUCUUGCCUUUGCUUUCCAAAGUUCAUGAUUCCACAUCUCUUACUUUCCACAAACACACUGGAGACAGGAAAAUGCGCAACAAACAGAUGGUAAUUUCUAAGCAAUAGAGUUUGGUUUCAGGGACAAUAUGGUGCCAUAAGACAGUUCUCCAAAUAGAGAGCAAUUUCCAAUAAAGUGCAUUUUACACAAAAACAUGGCCUUGCUAUUUAUGAUCGUGCCAAGAACCGGAGGGCUUGUGUUUAACAGCCAUAUGCACGCACUGCCUUGGGUACAGUGCCAAUGUGUAGGUCUGAGGAAGGCAUUCCCGGCAGUCUCUAAUGGGCUAAACCAUUAGAUUUGGCAAAUGGGCGAACCCAUGGGUUUGGCAGAUUGAAAACCUGGCAACAUGUGAGGACACUGAAUUUCACUAUGGCAGAAAACAAAUGCAUCUCAAUAAACCUGGUGAUAAAUGCAUCCAAAUUGAUUUAGAUCUUGAGUAUGGUGCAUAAGGAUGCUCAAUGUUACACAUUACUAGAUCAAGUGUUCUUGACUGCGAUCACCAUAAAUUCGCUAGAAAUAAAGAACAGAAAUAAAACUAACCUAAAACACAAAACCAUUCAUGUCAAGGGAAUAAUAUGCCAAUAAAUAAAUACAUUUUCCAUCAACAUUAGAAAAACCAUCAGUACCAUGCUAAAGAGGUAUGGUAAAGAGGCACUACCAUGGAAACACUUCAACCUAUGAAUAAUUCAAACCUGUUGCCUACAACCGUUGCUUACUUUAUUUAAUUUUUCCCUUCAACCUGACACUGGACCGGCAAUUACUUUGGACCGACACACUGUAUUCAUUGACACUCUAUUCGUUGGUGAAAAAUGUAAUCAUCCCUGCCACUGAGAGAGAACCGUAUUCUCCUUUGACAUUGUAAAAAAAAUAAAAUAAAAUAUGAUCAAAGCAUGACUUCACAUCAAAGUCUAGCUAGACGUUCAAACUGUCAUUAUACGAACCGGCAUCAGAGCAAGCAUGUGCAAGAGCGAUGUGAGGAACCGACACAAAAUACCAAAGAAAAUCUUGAAAAACUUAAUGAAGGCAAACGCGUCAAUUAAAACAAGAAAUGAGAUGGCACGGUCAAUGACAAGAAAGCAUCACCUAGCUUUCUAGGUCAGUAUGUACCUAAAAUCAAUUUAGAAAAACUUCCAUAGCCUUAUAAUGUAUACUUUAUAGUAUACAUAAUAAAGUAAGUAAGUAAGUAAGUAAGAACGAAGGUAAAAUAUAUAUCAGACUGUUAUUUGUACUUUACUGCUAAUUGCAUAUCCACAUUUACUGUAAUACUGUUACUUGCUAUUUGCAUAUUUACGUUUAGUGUAAUACACUGUAUGUACCUACUGUAUGUAUCAUAUUGCAUGCAUCAUGCUGUUUACCACUGUACUGGUUAUCUCAACCUAUUGCACCUCAAUUCCCAUUUAUUGCAUUUAAUUUAAUUGCCAUUUGCAUCAUUUGAAUUACCUUUACCUGUACACUGUUACUUAUCGCACUAGAACAUUUAUGUUCAUCAAACUUUUUUUACUGUUUGCACAACUGGGUGGAUGCUAACUGCAUUUCAUUGCCUCUGUACUUGUACUCUGACAAUGACAAUAAACUUGAACCUAACCAAACCUAACUUAAGUAAGUAAGGUAUGUAAGUAAACAAGUGAGUAAGAAAGUAGGAAAUAAGUAAGUAGGUAAGCAAGUAAGUAAGUAGGAAAUUAAGUGGGUAAGUAAGUAGGAAAUUAAGUCGGUAAGAAAGUAGGAAAUUAAGUACGAAAGUAGGAAAUUAAGUCAGUAAGAAAGUAGGAAAUUAAGUAAAUAAGAAAGUAGGAAAUUAAGUAGGAAAUUAAGUAGGUAAGAAAGUAGGAAAUUAAGUAGGUAAAAAGAUAGGAAAUUAAGUAGAUAAGUAAUAAGGUAAGAAAAUUAAGUAAGUAGGUAAGAAAGUAAGGUAAGUAAAGAAGGUAACUAAGUUAGGUAAGUAUAUAAGGUAAGUACAUAAGCAAAUAAAUAUGUAAGAAUGUACUUAAGUAUCAAAAACUACUUCCAUAGCCUUAAAGUGUAUGCACUAAUAAUCUAAAACUAUACUUCGCAUGUACUACAGAAAUUUGACAGCACUAACAUUAAUUUCAUUAAUUUUAAGAGAAAAAAGGUUGACAGUUUGUAGCUUAAGUGAUAACAAAAACUAACUUGACAAAUGGAUAAAAAGUACGUCAUUCUUUAAUAAAUAAAUUAAAAAGACCAAAAAAAAUUAAAAAAAAUCAGGUUGUCUGGUUACCAAGAAACCGCAAACCUCAAGAACUUUUCCCAUGUUGGAAAACAUACUGACCGUUACAAAGCCCUGACACUGGAGACUCCUUCCAAAACAUGUCCUUAAAGAAAGCUUCACUAUACCAACAAUUACCUACAUUAAAAUGCCCAUAAGUAAGCUAUUACUACAGGGGGGGAAAAAAAAGGAAAAAAAAAAACACAAAAACGUAUUGCAACAUGUGCAUUAAUACAAACAAACCUGUGUCUUGAUGUUGCAGAUAAUUCAUCAACACCUUCUUACCAAUCAGAAUUAAGCUUUCAACGCCACUGUAUUAUAAAUUCAUAUAACACUAAGUAGUCACCCUUGUUUACUAAGCCUUAUGCUUCACUCACGCUUUCCAGUUUUAGUGCUGAAAAAAGGUUAAAUAUCAUUUUGGCGGCUCUUGUAAGCAUCAGGUGCCAAAUGUGUGAAAGUGUGGGAAGAAUAAGAAAAACAACAGUGGGGGAGUAGGCGCAGAAAAAUGAGUACGCAUAGCCUUAAGCUGUAGAUCAGGCUUGCUCCCUCUAGCUGAAAAAGGGGUUUGGGGGGGGUCUAAAAUAUAGAUAUACUGCUGGCAGCCCAUGUGGAUUCUAUAGGAGAUGAAGGAUAAAACAAGACAAAUGAAGGAAAAGGACAGAUGGCAGUAGCUGUCAGUAACAGCAUUCUGGGCCAAUGGAAUGAAACAGUUUGAUCUCUCUGUGGAAGCUUGGAAAAAUGCCAUAAUAACGAAAAGAAGGAGGGAAAGUUAGACACUAAUGACUCAAAGAGAAAUGUAGGAAAAUGUUUGCUGUGGGCAGACAGAAGGAUGAAAGAGGAAAUGCAAAAGAGGCACACUGACAACCGAAAUACGUUACAUUUGUGACAACUGCUCUGUUUGUGGGCUCAGUGCUAAUGGCAGAAAUCCAAUGAAGUCCUGCUCCUUCAGCAAGGCCCUUAAACGUUAAAUACGCCCAUGCACUGGAAGUUUAACGUAGUGACAGACUGCUAGAGUCUGGGCCAAACUGAAAUUGCUCUAUAGCACACUAUGGUGCACCACCAGACUCCAAACCCGGCCCAUUAUAUUUCUGCAAAGUUUGCAUUGAAAUAAAGCCAAAUUAUCAAUGAGCAUAGAGUCAACUUCCAUAUUACAGUAUACUCAAAUGAUGCCAUAUGAUAAAUAUGGCCAAAAGUAUGUGGACACAACCCCCCCCCCC
ensembl:lncRNA